AGAGAGAGAGGGAGACACCGGCAGACGACGUCAAAAGCUACGGUAGCCUAUACACUGAGGGAAAGAGGGGUAGCGCGGGAGGGAAACGUUAGAUAAGUAUUUUUUAAUAUAUGUGUUAGCCCUUAAAUGUCUAUAUAAAUGGACUGCUGGAUUUAUAAAUAUCUGGCUGCUGCGGAAAUAGUUUUUAAGAAUAUAGCCUUGUAGCCAAAUUAUUGCAGAAAUUUGACUAUUCUAACAGACAGGGCAGUACUCAGAGUGACUGGAUUUACCGGAUUUGCCAAGAGUCGUGACGAGAGGAUAGAGCAAAUAACGGAUCACCAAGGCACCGGGUUGGGGAUAUGUGAUCUGAUGACCGCUUGCCAAGACGUGAGACAUUAACGGGAGCAGCAACUCCACUGAUCUGUUACGGAUUCGAAACCGGGAGAGGGAGCGAUUGGCACAAAGAGCGGAGAACGAAUCGCAUUGAGCCUCCUAUUCCCCGAGGGAGGAUAACAGGAGACGCGCACUGAAGACAACAACGCCACGGCAAAACGUGGAAAAAUAAACAAAAUAAUCUCAAAUUACUCUGGGGAUUAUUUUACAACGUGGAGUGAAGGAUCUCUUGAAAUCGGGGCUCCGAACACUCUCACGUCCUAAAGCUCUGGUCGCUCCUCUCCAGAGGACCACGACUCUGCUCGCACUCACCCCGCUCUUCUCACCUCGAAUCCCGCAAAGCGCUUGUCGUUCUCCUCGCUGUGUCCCGAUGAAGGAAGCCGACGCGAUCAAGCUGUUCGUGGGGCAGAUUCCUCGGAAUCUAGAGGAGAAGGACCUCAAACCGAUCUUUGAACAGUUCGGGAAGAUCUACGAGCUGACGGUGAUAAAGGACAAAUACACCGGCAUGCACAAAGGUAGGCGAAUAAUGGGAACCCAGCCACCUGUAGAAAUAAUUCCGGACACAAAUAGGCAUUUGGGCUAGACUACUCACUGGCAGACAGACAGGCAGACACCCACAAAUAAACA